rnacentral:rRNA from 2 species
UGGGGAAUAUUGGACAAUGGGCGCAAGCCUGAUCCAGCCAUGCCGCGUGAGUGAUGAAGGCCUUAGGGUUGUAAAGCUCUUUCGUCCGGGACGAUAAUGACGGUACCGGAAGAAGAAGCCCCGGCUAACUUCGUGCCAGCAGCCGCGGUAAUACGAAGGGGGCUAGCGUUGUUCGGAAUCACUGGGCGUAAAGGGCGCGUAGGCGGCUUUGUAAGUCGGGGGUGAAAGCCUGUGGCUCAACCACAGAAUUGCCUUCGAUACUGCAUGGCUUGAGACCGGAAGAGGUAAGUGGAACUGCGAGUGUAGAGGUGAAAUUCGUAGAUAUUCGCAAGAACACCAGUGGCGAAGGCGGCUUACUGGUCCGGUUCUGACGCUGAGGCGCGAAAGCGUGGGGAGCAAACAGG